GCUGGGGCGCGGGGCCACCGCCACUGGGCACCCAGGCGGAAGGCCGGCGCGGUGACGGGCCGGAUCCGGGGGCUGUGCCUCCUCCUUCCGGGGAGACUCCAGGGCAUCAGAAGGAAACUCUGCAAGGAUCUGCUAUCACAGAUAUGAAGAGUGGGAAGAAAUGUCCAGACACUGUUAAAAGCAUGAAUGUGGACCUUUGGAAGGAAGAAUUGCAAGGAAACCUGUCUGUCUCAGCUGGGGUUCAUUGUGGGGGAACAACAUCUCCCCUAAGAAUCUGUGAUCAUGGAUCUGCCUUCUCCCAGGUAUAUUUUAAUGGACAGAUUUUUCUCUCAAUGUGGAUCAUCUUCUCCUGAUUUUUUGCAUGCCUGGUAAUUUUGGAUUGGAUGUCUGACAUUGUAAACUUACUUUGAUGGUUGCUGGAUAUUUUUGUACUCCUGUAAAUAAUUUUAUUAUAAUAUGGCCGCCUCACUGAAUGGGGUGCUCAGAGUAGUGAUGAAAAAUUCAUGGAUUAACACUUGAUGCCAGACUGAGAGAGCAAGCACAAGUCGGAGCAGCAGAGAAAGAGG